rnacentral:rRNA from 1 species
UACGUAGGGGGCUAGCGUUGUCCGGAAUCAUUGGGCGUAAAGCGUGCGUAGGUGGUUUGUUAAGUCUGUUGUGAAAGCCCCGGGCUCAACCUGGGAAUGGCAAUGGAUACUGGCAGGCUAGAGUGCGGUAGAGGGUAGUGGAAUUCCCGGUGUAGCGGUGAAAUGCGUAGAGAUCGGGAGGAACACCAAUGGCGAAGGCGGCUACCUGGACCAGCACUGACACUGAGGCACGAAAGCGUGGGGAGCAAACAGG